rnacentral:lncRNA from 1 species
GCCGUGUGUGCGUGGCAGGUCUCUCCAAUGCAAGUGGUGGAGUCAGGAGAUGCCUCUGAAGGGAGCCAGCUCCUUCCCUCGGGGGGAGGCAGCCCAGGCCUGGAGCAGGCUCCAGGUGCAGGAAAAGCCGAGCAGAGCUGGGAGAUGCAGCCAGAGCAGGGGGAUGGAAGGACGAACAGCCCAGGGCUGAUGCUGGAAAUGCUCUCCCUGCUGCCUUCCUGCUUCUGGUGUGUGAGAAGAGCCUGUGCUGCCCGUGGGACUGGGGGAAAAAUCCUGCUGGAGGAGACAGAGGGAUCUCUGCUGUUACCCAGGCUGAGGAAAAGGACGUGGAGAGCAAUGGAGAGACUCCUUCUGUGCUUUCUGGGAUCCCUCUGCUCCUGGAAACGGUGGAGCUGA